GACGAACGCUGGCGGCAUGCCUAACACAUGCAAGUCGAGCGAGCUGAUUCCUUCGGGAUGAAGCUAGCGGCGGACGGGUGAGUAACACGUGGGCAACCUGCCUCAUAGAGGGGCAUAGCCUUCCGACAGGCAGAUUAAUACCGCAUAAGAUUGCAUCCUCUCAUGAAGAAGCAAGUAUAGGAGCAAUCCGCUAUGAGAUGGGCCCGCGGCGCAUUAGCUAGUUGGUGAGGUAACGGAUCACCAAGGCGAAGAUGCGUAGCCGACCUGGGAGGGUGAUCGGCCACAUUGGGACUGAGACACGGACCAGACUCCUACGGGAGGCAGCAGUGGGGAAUAUUGCACAAUGGGGGAAACCCUGAUGCAGCAAUGCCGCGUGAGUGAUGACGGCCUUCGGGUUGUAAAGCUCUGUCUUCGGGGACGAUAAUGACGGUACCCGAGGAGGAAGCCACGGCUAACUACGUGCCAGCCGCCGCGGUAA
rnacentral:rRNA from 1 species